GGGCUGAUGAUGAUAAUUUUAUUAUCUUAGCGGAUUUCAGUGAGAUUUUAUCUAUGAUCUGAUUGUUACACACACUGAAGCCU
rnacentral:snoRNA from 1 species